rnacentral:snRNA from 1 species
AUCGCUUCUCGGCCUUUUGGCUAAGAUCAAAGUGUAGUAUCUGUUCUUAUCAGCUUAAUAUCUGAUACGUCCUCUAUUAGGGGACUUCGAUAUUAAACUGAUUUUUGAAACAUGACGGAGUGUUAGGGGCUUGCUCCACCUCUGUCACGGGUCGGCCUGGUAUUGCAGUACCUCCAGGAUCGGCCCACUCUCC